AUCGAGCGUUUAUUGUGAUCAUGGCCAAAAAUAAAAUAAUUCUUUGACUUUUUUUGAAAUACUAUACACACAUUUCUAUAUUACAUUUUUAAGAAUUGCUUAUUUUUCAAUUUUUCUAGUAUUUCUUGUAUAUUCUACCACAGGUGAACAACUCAUUUUUUGGGUGACAUUUUUAGAGCUUGCUUGAGGGGCACUAGAAAGAAGGGCAGUAAUGUGAUGUGAAUGUUUCAGCUUAUGAAAACAGCUGUGCUCUACUUUAAGAAAUUUGACAUUUAAAAGUGUAAGAUUGCAAAACAAAUUAAUUACUAGUUGGUUAUAUUAUGUGAGAAUUUUAAAAAAGGGAUUCACUAAAAGUUGUUUUCAAAUACUUAAUCCCUUUAAAUGGUAUUUAUCUAAUGUGAUUUGAUUUGUGAAUAAUCAGUUGGCAUACAACAAUUUAGGAACAGAUUUUUGGCAUAUGUAAGGGUUAUCAGUGUGUUCUUUGAGUUCUCUCUUUACCAAAAGUAUUUGGGGACAAAGUUAAAUUCAGUGUUGUUCCACUUAUAUGCCACCUAUAAUGGUUUAACUGAGUGGGAAAAUUGUCAUCUGAUUUAUCCCAUAUCAUUUAAGGCAGCGGUGUCCAAUCUUUUGGCCUCCCCGGGCCACGUUGGAAGAAGAAGAAUUGUCUUGGGCCACACAUCAAAUGCAUUAACAAUAACUAAUGAGCUUAAAAAAUUGCAACAAAAAUUUCAUAUUUUUAGAAAGUUUACACAUUUGUUAAGUUUAUGAACAUUUUUAUAUUCCUGUGGGGACAACUAAGCACAGUAUGUAUAAUUUAAUAUCUCUGUUGGCAUUUGUUCUAAGUUAAAUUUAUUUGCUGUAUUGUUAAAAUCAAUGUAGUAAGGUGUACAGUCUUUUAAAAACAAAUCUGUUUCUCUGUGGAAUAUUUUUCAAAAGGACCUGAAAAACAUGCUCUUAAAUAGAUGGAGUGGAAAUUUUACUAUUAAAGUGAAUGUAUAGUUAAAUGUGUGAUACUGGUAUUGUCAAACAAGUAUAAAACGAAAAUUAUGUAAGAAGUACACACAUCCUAGCAGCUUGGCAAGUGUCUGUAUGCUCUUGCCUGUGCCUAAAUCCAGAAUUAGAAUUCAUGCUUGGUGCUCCUGUGGAAGAUGUCUAAAUGUUAUGAGAAAUACAUGAUUAAAUAAAAAUGUGAAAUGAAAGCAUGGAGACUUGUUGAAGGGGUAUCCACCAUGAUUAUAUAUGAUGGGGAGGAAAGGGAUUACUCCAUUUCUGCCCCUGCAGUCUGUAGGCAUGAUUGAUUACAUCAUUGGUCGCCGGUGAUUAACUCAGUCUCCAAGCCCUGUCGUGUCCCUGGAGGUUGGAGGGUGGCACUGAAAGCUCCAACCAUCUCAUCAUGCUUUGAUCUUUCCGAUGACCAGACCCCACCCUGAAGCUAUCUACGGGUCCCCAGCAACAUUCAUUUCGUUAUCAUACAAAUGACAUUCUUACAAUUUCAGAGAUUCCAAGGGCUUUAGGAAAUGGAGAUGAAGAGCAAAUAUAUAUUUCACAAUAUCACAAACAUACCCUUGGGAAUUAGACCUCUGAUCUAAUCUAGGCUCCCUCACUUGCCAUUUUUGUGACCUUGAACAAGUUGUUCAUCUUUUCUGGAUAGUUCUCUGUUAAAAAAAUUAAAAUAAAAAAAUGGUGGCUAUCAGGUUGUUAGGAGGACUAGAUAAGAGAACUAUGUGAAGGACCCUGCACAGUGCUAGCAACAAAGUUGUUUAGUAAGUGCUAUUUCAAUUUAUUUUGCUUCCAAGCUCAUGUGAGCUCCCUCAGUGUGUACCACCAAAUCACAUGAUGUGUAUCCCAGUCAAAUCUUAAAGGUCAUCCACCUUGAAUCUUUAAGUUAAUUAACGUGUGUUUUUAAAACUGCAUUAUAAGAACGUUAGGGUUUUUGUUUUGAUCCUAUGGAAGUUAAAUUUUUUACACAAGCAUUCAACUGUUUAGCUUCAAACUGAACAGAUAAAUAGUCUGUAUUAUUUCAUUAUGUAUUAAAAAAUGAUUAAGCCUGCCUCAGGCAGUUCAGGCAAAGCAGGUAAAAGAUUAUCAAGGAGUAACAUUAGAAAACACUAAUCAGAGUGCCUAAAAAGCUUUAUGCGGUCCAGGUUGUACAGGGAUGUUGGAACAGUAAAACAAACAAAACAUUACAAGGUAUGAAGCGUUCGAGAUAGGUAGAAUAGAGCAGGUUAUAUUAGAGAAGUCUCUUCUAAAAUUGUGUUGGCUAGCCUGGGAUUUGAACUUAUACCGUGUAUGUAUGUCCAUGUGUAACAGGUUGAACAUGCAAGAAGCAGUGUUCAUAAAAGGUGGCAAACUUGUUUUACUUGUUUCUCAGUCUUUUCAGAUCAGUACUUAUAAAACACUGAUAUUUACAGUAAAUAUCUUAUAUUAAAUAUUAGCUAACCCUAUUAAAUUGUGUGUCCUUGUGCUGCAGUCAUUUAAUGACCUCAUUCUUUGGUAAGUUGGCAUGUGAUUUGAGAUAGCUCUAAGUGCUAAUGGAUUGUUUGAAGGAGUUAAAGGCAAAACCAGGAAGAGAAAACUAUUUUUAGGAAAAAGCGAUCAUACAACAGGCCUUAAAUAGAAGAAAUGAGAUAUCUCUAUCUUUACUAUGUAACCUUUAAUUCCUUACACAUUUUGACUUCAUAUUUUUUGUAUGUAAAUGAGAAUGUUAUAGUCUUGUAAAUUCCUUUUCCUCUGUGACUACAUUCAGUUAUUUAUUUUAUUGUGUGUUUGUGCAUGUCGGUAGAGCACAGUAUUUAGUAGAAUGAGUUAUUGGUUAAACCACCUGGAUUCAUUUGUAAAAUGGGGCCACCUGUCUCUUAAAUUGUAAUGAGGAUUUGAUUAGAUAAUCUAGAUAAAUCACUUAGCACAAGAGUCUCCAGCCCCCGGACUCUUGACUGGUACUGGUCUGUGGCCUGUUAGGCACUGGGCUGCACAGCAGGAGGUGAGCAGGGAGCAAGCUAGCACUAGGGCCCAAGCUCCGCCUCCUGUCGGAUCAGUGGCAGCAUUAGAUACUCAUAGGAGCACAGACCCUGUUGUGAACUGUGCGUGUGAGGGAUCUAGGUUUCGUGCUCCUUACAAGAAUCUAUUUGCUGAAAGAAUAAAAUUGUAUUCUUAUGUUUUAAGCAGGGUCCCCUCCACCUCUGAGUGGAAGAUGGUCUGGGAGCAAAGGUGACAGGUCUUCUAAAAAAUCUGGCCACAUUCUCAACCCACCACACCCCCGCUUUUUUAAACAGCUAUUUAAUUGCCAUUGUAAUCCUAAGGAUUGGAUCAAUUUUUCACUUCCCUUUUUCACACUUUUUUCCUUUUACUAAGAAAAUAAAGUAAUAAAGUGACUGCCAAAUGGAGAAAACUGUCCACUAAAUAUGAAUUAAUAAGUGCUAUUAUCAGAAAUUGUGUAAAAGCAACAUAAUGGCACUAUAAAAAGGUAUUAUCUUAGAAUCAAAAACCUUGGGUUUAUAUUAUAGCCCUGCUACUUUCUAGUCAUAUGACAGUGAUCAAGCUAUAUUACCUCUUUGGCUUGACAAAAUAGGGGUCAUCUCUAUUUCUGGCUUGUUAUGAUUGAUGUGAAAUAUUCAUACAAACUACCACUGUGCCUGGUAAGUAGAAGACACUCAAAUAUGUCUUGGAGUUACAGUUAAUACUGUAUCGUUUAAAUUUGAGAAAAACCAACUUUAAAAAAUCACAUAGAUACAGUUGUUUACUGCUAGAAAUUUUAUUUAAAUUAGUUGAUACUCUUGGUUAGGUAAUGAAAAACAAUGGUUUUAUCUCCAUUAUGCUGUGAUAGGGAAGAGUAACACAGUUCAAAUGGCAAAGGCAUACCUGACAAUUAAAAUGCAUAGUUAAAGGCUAAUACUUCCUGAACACAAGAAGACAAGUCUCUACUUGAUACUACUCUCCACAGUUAAAUCAUUGAUACUUUGUGCCAUACAGUGAAAACAGAACCAUCUAGGUGUUCACGGAUUGUAUUUUUCCUUAUGAAAGGUAGAAGGUUAGAGAAAAUUAUUCCCAAUACAAUUAAUACAAAUAAAAUUGGUUAUUAGGUGCCUUUUAAUUAGGCAGUAAGGGCAUAUGAAGCUUCAUUACCUAUGAGAAUUUUGUCAAAAUUAUUUCCCAGUUACCAUGUUUUAAAACAGCCUCUCAGAAUUCCCCACUUCUAAUUUCUCCUUUCAAUAUUUUAGAAGGUAAUACAGGAAAAUUUGAACCAAUGUAAGGAAGGAGUUGUUGGAUGUGACUCAAAGUGGGAACCAUGAAGAAAAAGAGUCACACAUCUGACUAUAUUAAAACUAGAAACUUAAGUAUGACAAAAGACACUGAAUAUUAGAGGGCCAGCCACAGACGUGGAAGGUACUUACCUUGCAAUUAUCUACCAGGAACUGACAAAGGAAGUGUCCAAAUUACAUAAAGGACUACUUAAGGGGGGAAUAAAUGAGUGAUAUAUGAGAGAGAACCAAAAGGUCAAUUAACAGAAAAAUGUUUUAGCUCACUAGGAGUCAAGGAAAUGCCAGUCAGCACAGUUAGAUACCAUUUCACAUCCAGUCAGAUAAUAUCAGGGAUUGGCAAACAUGUUGAGAAAAUAAUUCAUACUUUAGUAAAGUUGAAAUUACAUAUUGCUUAUAACAGCAGUUCAACAUCUGUCUUUUUAUAAGACUAAAGUUUUGCAUCAUAUUUAGGUACAGAAAUUGUCAGAACACUUAAAGCUUGUAGGCAUUUGUUGCUGGGAGAAGACUGAAUUGCUUUUUUCAAAAACUGGAAAUCACAUUGAUGUGUUGUAAAAGAGAACCUUAGAUUUAGAGAGGGAAAAAAAACUACAGUAUUUUGUUAAAUUUAUCUACAUUUAAAGAUACUAAUAAAUGCAGUUUAUGAACUACCAGUCUCCUAUAUUGGUCAUAUUUUGACAAGUAAUUGCUUAAAUCUAGUAUCUAUACAAAAUUUUUAUGUUCGCUAGAUUGUAAAUUCAGUUUUCUUACUAAGAAAGACUGAAAUUUAUUAAUAAUUUUGGGGUUCUAGUGAUUAGCAUUAGAGACUGAUUUGCUUUUAAAGAGAAUCGCAUAUUUUAUAUAUUUCCAAUUUUACAUACUUCUGAAAGAACAUAACUUUGUCAUUAAUAUAUGGCAUAUGUAUACAAUGAAAAAUGUACAAGGAUGUUUCUUACAGCAGUUAUUGAAAUAGCAGGAAGAAAAAGGUAACUUAAAAGACACUUAGCACUAGAGUCUCCAGUCACAUCUACUCCCUGGCCCAUGAACUAAGAACGUUUUUAACGUGUGUAUGAAAGGAGUGACUUAAUAGAUCUGGCGUGUUGAAACCUGCACCUUUCAAAGAAAGGUCUAGCCCUCAACUUGCUCCUGGGAGAUCACAGCGCUAAGCCCCUGGAAUAUCCUGCCUGAUGCAAGGCCUUUGUUUACCUGGGGCCUUGGAUCACACCAGAUAGUUUAUGCUACAGAUUUAUGGUGAGGGCAUUGCACCUUGCAGUAUCAAUUUAAUCGCCGGGGGAGGUGGAAACUGAAUAACAUCUGCCAUUUCUGUUCUCCAUGCCUAUGUGACUAACACCCAAUAAAAACCUUGGACACCA
rnacentral:lncRNA from 10 species